rnacentral:rRNA from 1 species
AUGAACGCUGGCGGCGUGCCUAAUACAUGCAAGUCGAACGGAAAGGCCCUGCUUUUGUGGGGUGCUCGAGUGGCGAACGGGUGAGUAACACGUGAGUAACCUGCCCUUGACUUUGGGAUAACUUCAGGAAACUGGGGCUAAUACCGGAUAGGAGCUCCUGCUGCAUGGUGGGGGUUGGAAAGUUUCGGCGGUUGGGGAUGGACUCGCGGCUUAUCAGCUUGUUGGUGGGGUAGUGGCUUACCAAGGCUUUGACGGGUAGCCGGCCUGAGAGGGUGACCGGCCACAUUGGGACUGAGAUACGGCCCAGACUCCUACGGGAGGCAGCAGUGGGGAAUAUUGCACAAUGGGCGGAAGCCUGAUGCAGCAACGCCGCGUGCGGGAUGACGGCCUUCGGGUUGUAAACCGCUUUCGCCUGUGACGAAGCGUGAGUGACGGUAAUGGGUAAAGAAGCACCGGCUAACUACGUG